rnacentral:rRNA from 1 species
UACGAAGGGGGCUAGCGUUGCUCGGAAUCACUGGGCGUAAAGGGUGCGUAGGCGGGUCUUUAAGUCAGGGGUGAAAUCCUGGAGCUCAACUCCAGAACUGCCUUUGAUACUGAGGAUCUUGAGUUCGGGAGAGGUGAGUGGAACUCCGAGUGUAGAGGUGAAAUGCGUAGAGAUCGGAAAGAACACCAACGGCGAAAGCACUCUGCUGGGCCGACACUGACACUGAGAGACGAAAGCUAGGGGAGCGAAUGGG